UAUUAUUGUAAGUGUGAAUUUAAAAUCUGGGUAGUAUUAGAUAUGGUCUUGAAACUCAAAGAAUUUGGCGGUGUUUUAGUCUGUUCAGAGGAAUCUGUCCUGUAAUUGAUAAUUCACGAUUAGGUUAACUUAAUUUUAUGAUUUGUAUACCGCCGUCAUCAGAAUAUUUUUGUAGAAAAUAAUUUUCUUUAUAUUUGAUUAAAUAGAAUGUCAGGUCAAGGUGCAGUUAAUGGUUAAGUAGUAGAUGGAUUACAAUAAAAGAAUUUAUAUGAAUAUAAAUUUUGAAGAUUUAUUGAAGGUGGAUUUGAUAGUAAUUAAGAAUUAGAUUUUUUAAUGAUUAGAGCUCUAAAGCAUGCACACAUCGCCCGUCGCUCUCAUUUUUAAAUGAG
rnacentral:rRNA from 1 species